ensembl:snoRNA
AGCAUUCACAAAAGUGUUUUUUCAACUGGUGGACAAAGGCAUGAAAUACACGUGCAAUAAUAAGUCCUCCUUUGCGACACAAAUCUCAUCAUUCAGUAUGAGGUUUGCUACACACAAGAAGGAAGAUG